rnacentral:rRNA from 1 species
CAUUAAUGAUUANGAAUCGUCACCUCCUGUGCUGGCCGCCCUUGGCAAGUGCACGUUGGUGGCUUUCAUCCAAUACCCCUGUGAACCUUUGGCCUCUUGUUGGCUUCGGCUGGCAGAGGAUUUUUUACAUACACACUCGAAUGUAAUGAAAGCCCUUAUUGUGCGCAAGCACUAAUGUACAACUUUCAACAACGGAUCUCUUGGCUCYCGCAUCGAUGAAGAACGCAGCGAAAUGCGAUAAGUAAUGUGAAUUGCAGAAUUCAGUGAAUCAUCGAAUCUUUGAACGCACCUUGCACCCUUUGGCAUUCCAAAGGGUAUGCUCGUUUGAGUGUCAUUGUACUCUCACACUCUCUAAUUCGGAUUCGGAUUGGGAGCGGUGGACUUGGGUGUUGCCGCUUCACUGUGGCUCGCCUCAAAUGUGUUAGUGCAACUGUUGAUUAGACAUAGUACGGCGUGAUAAGUGUCUUCGCCGGCACCUCGCAAGAGGGUGGCUAAUCGGGAGCUCUGUGCUUCAAACUGUCUUUGGACAAUCCUUGACAACUUGACCUCAAAUCGAGUAGGACUACCCGCUGAACUUAANCAUAUCAAUAAGCGGAGGAAAAGAAACUAACAAGGAUUCCCCUAGUAACGGCGAGUGAAGAGGGAAGAGCUCAAAUUUUAAAUCUGGCACCUUUGGUGUCCGAGUUGUAAUCUAGAGAAGUGUUUUCCGUGGCGGACCGUGUACAAGUCUCCUGGAAUGGAGCGUCAUAGAGGGUGAGAAUCCCGUAUAUGGCACGGACUCCCGUUGCUCUGCGAUACACUCUCAACGAGUCG